AGAGAGAGACAUGCGCGCAUAUCAAUAAGCGGAGGAAAAGAAACUAACUAAGGAUUCCCCUAGUAACGGCGAGUGAAGCGGGAAGAGCUCAAAUUUGAAAUCUUAAAGGGUUUUCCCUUGACGAAUUGUAGUUUAAAGAAGUGUUUUCUGUUGGAAGUUUUGGUAAAAGUUCUUUGGAAUAGGACAUCAUAGAGGGUGAGAAUCCCGUAUUUGACCAUUAUUUUCAGCUGUGUGAUACACUUUCAAAGAGUCGGACUGUUUGGGAAUGCAGUCCAAAAUGGGUGGUAAAUUUCAUCUAAAGCUAAAUAUUGGCGAGAGACCGAUAGCGAACAAGUACCGUGAGGGAAAGAUGAAAAGAACUUUGAAAAGAGAGUUAAACAGUACGUGAAAUUGUCAAAAGGGAAGCGUUUGACACCAGUGUUGUUUUUCUGAAAAUCAAUUAAAAAGGAACUGGAUUUAUGCUAGUUGUAUUAGACUUUAUCAGCUUACUGCUUUAGUUUUUGAUCUUUUCUUUAAUGCACUUUUCAGUUAACAAGUCAACAUCAAUUUCUUUUGCUGUAAAAAAGCUUGAGGAAGGUGGCUUGAGAUUCGUCUUAAGUGUUUAUAGCCUCUUGCCUAUGCAGUCGGAGAGAUUGAGGUCUGCAGCGUAGAUCCUUCGGGGCUAAAUGCAUUUGUGCUAAGUUAUAGCUUUUUAUAGACAACUUGUUGACUAUGAUUAGUCUUGUAGCUUACUCGCUUAUGCUAUUUUACCUACGCUUAGGAUGUUGAUGUGAUACUGCGAGCA
rnacentral:rRNA from 1 species